UACGGGGGGAGCAAGCGUUGUUCGGAUUUACUGGGCGUAAAGGGCGCGUAGGCGGCCUGUUAAGUCGAACGUGAAAUCCCCGGGCUCAACCCGGGAACUGCGUCCGAUACUGGCAGGCUUGAAUCCGGGAGAGGGAUGCGGAAUUCCAGGUGUAGCGGUGAAAUGCGUAGAUAUUCGGAAGAACACCAGUGGCGAAGGCGACUUACUGGACACAUAUUGACGCUGAGGUGCGAAAGCGUGGGGAGCAAACAGG
rnacentral:rRNA from 1 species